rnacentral:rRNA from 1 species
UACGAAGGGGGCAAGCGUUGCUCGGAAUCACUGGGCGUAAAGGGCGCGUAGGCGGACGUUUAAGUCAGGGGUGAAAUCCCGAGGCUCAACCUCGGAAUUGCCUUUGAUACUGGAUGUCUCGAGACCGGAAGAGGUGAGUGGAACUGCGAGUGUAGAGGUGAAAUUCGUAGAUAUUCGCAAGAACACCAGUGGCGAAGGCGGCUCACUGGUCCGGUUCUGACGCUGAGGCGCGAAAGCGUGGGGAGCAAACAGG